CAUUAAACUGUAUGUUUUUUUUUUGUUUUUUUUUUAUUAAAAUGUUUUUUUUUAACCAUUUAAUUUAAUAGCUGCCAUGCUUACCAGUCUAAUGCACUUUGUGGGACGAAAUGGAGACCACAAACACAAGGUCACAAACAAUACGUUAAUUAUUAGUUAGGUUUAACUUACACAUUAUGUUUAUUGUUUACCUUUAUUCAUUGUAACUCUUUUCUUCAACUUUUCUAAAUUUAUUGUUGUCUUUUACGUUUGUUAAAUAGUUACACAUCCAUGUUAACGUACAUGUAACGUAAGGCUAUUAACGUUAGCCUAUUUUUCGAGUCAUUUGCACAUAACGUAAGGUUACAUAAAACUGGUUUUGAUCAUUUUUUCUCCUCAGAAAAUCCAGUAUGACUUCUCUAAAAAUCUCAAAGGAUUCACAGAGCAGCACUAUCAGUUAAUGUGUGUCUGUAGUGGACACCUGUGAGGCAGUGGACAGACAGCUGCUGAAGUCUGAUGCUGGCUGACAAUAAACAGACCUCUCUGGAUGUACCUCACCUUUUGUAGAGUAAUUCUAACAUUGCCCUUCCUGUAACAUGAUGAUCCUGCUGUCCUGGAUGUAUAUGAUGAGCCUACACAUAAUCUCAGAACAGCUGUGGUAUUAACAAGAGCCCCAUUUGGUAAGAGCAGCACUGCAGUCUUUCCUGAUGGAGGAGACCAUGGACCAUUUGCAUAAGACUGUGUGUCAGGGCCCAUCAGCAUUGUAAAUCCUCACCAUUAUGUGCAUUAAUAACGCUAUACUUUGUAUUAUAUCACAUUUGUAUCAAAUUACUAAAAAAAAAUAGUUAAUGCAAGGGUGUUUCAAAUCCAGAGUCUUUUGGAGGAAUGCUAAAUUUGACAUUGUUCUCUCUUCUGACUGCUGUUAUCAGUCUGUCAGAUUUUUUUCCUUUGAUUGAAAGUUGUGAAAAUGCUAUCUUUAGAGUUUUUGUUUUGUUAUUUGAGUAAAUGUGAAUGCAAAAAUAUUUGUGAUACUCUCCCAUUCACUGCUCUCGAAGUUAACCCAACUAUAACAACUUCCGCUGCUGAGAAACUGGUUUAUUAAGCUAUCUUGAGGCUUAUCAAUUUCUUUAUGUCCUGUGAUAAUUCUUCCAAUCAGUUACCACAAUUUAGAACCGGAAAUAAAAUGUUACUAUUAGUUGCAAAUUGAAUUUAUUAAUUUAAAUUGUAUCAUUGUUGCAGGUACAUUAAAUGUUUUUUAAAGUUCUAAGAUAAUUGAGUCACAUUUAUGUUUAUAACUUUACCAAGGUGUAAAUGGUUUUUUUUUUUUGUUGUUGUUUUAUAUUUGUUUCUAGCAAUAUUAACACUGAUGUGUCCAUGAAUGGGAUUGUGAUGUGCAGUAUUGACUAUUUAAGGUUAUUAUGGAUAUUGUUGCUUAUCAAUAAACUAUGUUUUAUAUGCAUUUGUUUUAUUUUUUUCAGUUUGGUUUUUUAAAUCAUAAAUGUCAAUAGCAGGAAAAAUAAAUAAACCGGGGGAGGGGGGGUUGGUGGUGAAGAACUGAAAUUAGGGAAAUGGUGCCUUGAAGCACCCCAGGUGGUUCCUGGCCAUCCUAAUAAAAGGGUUCCUCCAGGAACCAUUGAAAGUUCCUCAGAGAACCAUCCCCAUUUAGAGUGGUGCCUAGAAGCUCUUCAGAGGGUUCCGCCGGUGUGGCGAAGUGAAGAACCCCAAAAGGUGCCUCCAGGAACCUUUAGUUUUUACAGUGUAGGUGUAAGUGUGUAAAAAAAAGUUAUUAGAUAUUGUUGUCAUGAAGACAAGAGCCUGGUCUGUCAACGGUCCCCCUCCACAGCAGCAGCGCACCAGCGCUACGCCACUGGUUGCCACCCUAGGUUCUUUUUUUGCUCAAUCCUGCCAAUAUCACUCUGCAAGGAGAGGAUACAGACCUUUUAACUGAGAUGAAACAUAUCUUCACCUGCCG